GACGUAGGGGGCGAGCGUUGUCCGGAAUUACUGGGCGUAAAGAGCACGUAGGCGGGAACUUAAGUCAGGUGUGAAAGACCGAGGCUCAACCUCGGGGUGGCACUUGAAACUGGGUUUCUUGAGGGCAGGAGAGGAAAGCAGAAUUCCUGGUGUAGCGGUGAAAUGCGUAGAAAUCAGGAGGAAUACCAGUGGCGAAGGCGGCUUUCUGGACUGACCCUGACGCUGAGGUGCGAAAGCGUGGGUAGCAAACAGG
rnacentral:rRNA from 1 species